rnacentral:misc_RNA from 1 species
GCUCACAUUGUCCGUACUAUGCCUGGCCAAGGCCAGCUUCGUUAGCAGUAUUGAAGCAUCCGAGCAUGCCUUGUCGGAGCUUUCACUGCCCAUGACAGCGUCGCUGCCUGGUGACCCUGGUGGUGAUGGUGGCCUCUGUGAACGUAAACACAUUCGUGCGACUCCACAUGCAGUGUCGUUUGAUACCACGUCCCAAAGGCCAUCGCUUGCCAGUAUCAAACACUCAUCCCCUGCCGUCCGUUCCGUCACCGUCACCUCUGGUUCCGAUAUCACAUAUUGUUUCAAAUAGUUAUCACCAAUUGCUCUAGACAUGGCCAAAACUCCAAGGACUCGUGCACCGUCCCAGUAGAUUACUCGGCCGCCGGCGGCUUGGAUUCGGACCAAUUCAUCCGGCCGAUCAGGCUUAUGAUCCGAGGAAAGUGGGAUGGCGACACCGUUGCGGCAGAGCACGGCACGAGAGUCGCCGCAGUUGGAGACGACGAUCUUGUCCGGAGUCACAACUGCAACUACAGCUGUUGAUCCCACGGCAUCGCACUGUGGAAUCUGCAGCUCACAACGGCAGUUGAUGCUCUUAUCUACGUUGUUGCACCACUCCACCUCCUUGUCCAUCUUCGCAUAACUUCUCUCCAUCGUUUCUUUCCACUCAACGCAAUUCAAUUCUUCGAAUCUUUCAAUUUCUUCUUUCACUAUCUCGUGCAACCGGUCUUUGCACUUCAUCGCCACAUGAGAGCAACCAUGACCAUCAAAUACACCGAAGAAAGAAGUGUUCUGGCCAGUAAAAGACGUUCGUAUCGAAACUGCAUCUUCCAUGUCUCUUCUUCUACCACAAACGGAAGUAGAGCCAAAUUUCGGUGACUCUUCAGCCACAUCAUGACCCGAUUUCGCAGACUCAGAAACGGAGUUAGCGUUCACUGAUAGAUUUGUACCCAAGUACUCGUUCUUCUCAGAAUUUUCAUUUUGUUCAUUUUCUUUACACUUAUCAUCGCUAGGUUUGCAACUCUCUACUGCGUUCUCGCAGUCACGUGGGGAGUUAGGUGCAGGAGAGGCGAGUGGAAGAGGGCAAAGAUCCAGUUUCUGCCGUUUCCGGUCGUUUUCCAACGUCGGUUGCACAGCAGUAUCGGCAAUGACCUUGAAUGGGCGGAGUUCCAAUCUUCUCCGCCUUGAAGCUCGUGAGCUUGGUUCAACUACUGGAGCAGCUGUCUCACUCUCAGCAACAAC